AGCUCCAAUAGCGUAUAUUAAUGUUGUUGCAGUUAAAAAGCUCGUAGUUGGAUUCCUGACCUGGGGUAGCCGGUCCGCCUUGCAAAAGGUGCGCACUGAGCGGCCUCGGUCAUCCUUGAGAAGAGCGGUCCUGGCAUUCAGUUGUCGGGGUCGGGAUUCUCGACGUUUACUGUGAAAAAAUCAGAGUGUUCAACGCAGGCUUACGCCUUGAAUACAUUAGCAUGGAAUAAUGAGAUAGGACCUUGGCGGUCUAUUUUGUUGGUUUGCACGCCGAGGUAAUGAUUAAAAGGGACGGUUGGGGUUCUUCGUAUUCAAUUGUCAGAGGUGAAAUUCUUGGAUUUAUGGAAGACGAACUGCUGCGAAAGCGUCGAACAAGGACGUUC
rnacentral:rRNA from 1 species